rnacentral:lncRNA from 1 species
UGAGGCGUCACUUGGUGCCGUCAACCAGUGGUGAACUUGGCCCGUGGCGAGUGAAAAUGAGCACCAAGCCCGAAAUGAAUCGCCGCAUUGCAGCGGUCGCUAAGAAGAAACGGGCAAAAAAGCCGAAAAACAACAGGCCCCAGGCAAGCAAGGCUCGAGAGGGCAAUGACAACAACUCUGCUAGGGGAAGGCAUGGAACAUCCAGGCAGACGGCAAAGAAUGGAAGGU